CUUGCAGAUAUUCUUUCUGGUCGUCCAAGACAACCAAUUGGAUGUUGUUGGUACACGAUGUUAAGGAAAGAUUAACUGUUUGGCUGGACUCAAUGAAUCUUGAAAGGCAUAGACACCAUGCUAAAACACUUGCCAUGUUGGUACAUAAACAAAAUGAACAAAAUGCUUUGAAUGAGGGGAAGUCAAAUUUCCUGGCAAUAUUCCAAAACAAGAAAACAGUCGUGACUGUGCAGUUUACAUGAUUGCAUUUAUGGUAUCUCUGGCAGUUAGUGAUAAAAUACCUUCAUUUGAUAAGAACCACGUGUGUCAAAUGCGCCGGCAAAUUUUUCUUGAGUUGAAAAAGAAAUGCUUCUCCCUGAAUAUCCUGAAGUUGGCUAUAGGCAUUUGUAUGAAAGAAAAUACUCCUAUAAAGAUUACGAAAUUUUGCAGAAGA